rnacentral:rRNA from 1 species
UACGUAGGUGGCAAGCGUUGUCCGGAUUUAUUGGGCGUAAAGGGAGCGUAGGCGGACUUUUAAGUGAGAUGUGAAAUACCCGGGCUCAACUUGGGUGCUGCAUUUCAAACUGGAAGUCUAGAGUGCAGGAGAGGAGAAUGGAAUUCCUAGUGUAGCGGUGAAAUGCGUAGAGAUUAGGAAGAACACCAGUGGCGAAGGCGAUUCUCUGGACUGUAACUGACGCUGAGGCUCGAAAGCGUGGGGAGCAAACAGGAUUAGAUACCCU